CAUUCUGUUGAUUUGGUGAAUGUGAAGCACAGUGCCUUAGUCUUUUCAGGCUGCUGUAACAAAAUACCACCAACUGGGUAGCAUAUAAAUGCGGAAAUUUAUUUCUCAUAGUUUGGAGAGUGGAAGUCCAAGACUGAGAUCCCAACAUGGUCAGAUGUUACCUGAUUUAAGCUUUACAUCUACUCUGCAAGGGCUUCCUCAUGCAGAAAAAUGGCUUGCCUCGCUCUUCUGGAUUCUGAAG